GAAAAAGUCGUAUAAAAAGAGAGAGAAAAGGCGAAGGUAAAUCAGUUGAGGGAGCAUCUCCGACACAGCAACAACUGCAGCGCACUAUAGGUCACUCUUCAUCGUAUUACAUCAGUUCGCAAUCAUGGUCAACUAUGGCGUUUUGGUGCUGUCGGGUGUUGUAUCGUUGAUGGCUGCGUCAACCACAAAUGUACUGAUGUCUCCUGGGUAUGGUGGAUACCAAGCAACAGUACCGAAAGAAGACUACACCACGUCGCCGCCUCACAACAAAAAAAUGCUAACGUAGGCUACGCAACACCUAUUUACUACACCGAGGCCCCCAACUAGUACACCAACGAGACUUCAGAGUACUUCACGAAAACUUACGUUGCCCUGAGCUACUACAUCGAAGCCACCAAGUACUAGACCGAGGCUCAAGUUUAUUAACACCACUAAAGCUGUCGAAUACUACACCGAAGCGCCCAAGUACUACAAUGCAACAUACACUGCCCCAACUUAGUACACCGAGGCAGCGGAGUACUACUACACCACCACCGAGGCAGCGGAGUACUACUACACCACCACCGAGGCAGCGGAGUACUACUACACCACCACCGUGGCAGCGGAGUACUGCUACACCACCACCGAGGCACCGGAGUACUACUACACCACCACCGAGGCACCGUAGUACUACUACACCACCACCGAGGCACCGUAGUACUACUACACCACCACCGAGGCACCGUAGUACUACUACACCACCACCGAGGCACCGUAGUACUACUACACCACCACCGAGGCACCGGAGUACUACUACACCACCACCACCGAGGCACCGGAGUACUACUACACCACCACCACCGAGGCACCGGAGUACUACUACACCACCACCACCGAGGCACCGGAGUACUACUACACCACCACCACCGAGGCACCGGAGUACUACUACACCACCACCACCGAGGCACCGGAGUACUACUACACCACCACCACCGAGGCACCGGAGUACUACUACACCACCACCACCGAGGCACCGGAGUACUACUACACCACCACCACCGAGGCACCGGAGUACUACUACACCACCACCACCGAGGCACCGGAGUACUACACAACUACUUACGCUACUCCGACCUACUACACCGAAGCUCCGAAGCACUACUCUACCCCGAGUUACUACACUUCUAAGGCAUCUGAAUAUUAUACCACAACCAACGCUUCCCCAACUUACUACGAGAAGGCCUUUAAUACUAGAGUCGAAAUUUCUAUUUGUUAAUCAUUUAAAUUCGUCGGUUAUCUUCAUGGUUACUAGUGACUAUGAAUUGAUUGUUGAUCUUAAACGAGAAAAUAAAAAAGACUAAAGAAUAAGACUUUUAUUAAUACCUACCUUUUCGACAUUUCGACAGGCGUUUCUAUUUGUGUUGACUUCUUCAAUGUUAGUAUGCUGUGUUAUGAUUUGUUUGUUUCAUGUAUUAGAGAUGACUACUGCCUUAGUUGCUUGGCAUACGGACAUUCUUCUGCUUUGACGAUUGUUUUAGAGUAAGUUGCGAAAGAAAGGUGCUGCGUUAAGUAUACUCUAAAUUUUGAUUUUGAA